GCGGAUAUGGUCAAAUGGUAAAAUUUCUCUU
rnacentral:tRNA from 27 species